AGAGUUUGAUCCUGGCUCAGGAUGAACGCUGGCGGCGUGCCUAAUACAUGCAAGUCGAGCGAACGGACGAGAAGCUUGCUUCUCUGAUGUUAGCGGCGGACGGGUGAGUAACACGUGGAUAACCUACCUAUAAGACUGGGAUAACUUCGGGAAACCGGAGCUAAUACCGGAUAAUAUUUUGAACCGCAUGGUUCAAAAGUGAAAGACGGUCUUGCUGUCACUUAUAGAUGGAUCCGCGCUGCAUUAGCUAGUUGGUAAGGUAACGGCUUACCAAGGCAACGAUGCAUAGCCGACCUGAGAGGGUGAUCGGCCACACUGGAACUGAGACACGGUCCAGACUCCUACGGGAGGCAGCAGUAGGGAAUCUUCCGCAAUGGGCGAAAGCCUGACGGAGCAACGCCGCGUGAGUGAUGAAGGUCUUCGGAUCGUAAAACUCUGUUAUUAGGGAAGAACAUAUGUGUAAGUAACUGUGCACAUCUUGACGGUACCUAAUCAGAAAGCCACGGCUAACUACGUGCCAGCAGCCGCGGUAAUACGUAGGUGGCAAGCGUUAUCCGGAAUUAUUGGGCGUAAAGCGCGCGUAGGCGGUUUUUUAAGUCUGAUGUGAAAGCCCACGGCUCAACCGUGGAGGGUCAUUGGAAACUGGAAAACUUGAGUGCAGAAGAGGAAAGUGGAAUUCCAUGUGUAGCGGUGAAAUGCGCAGAGAUAUGGAGGAACACCAGUGGCGAAGGCGACUUUCUGGUCUGUAACUGACGCUGAUGUGCGAAAGCGUGGGGAUCAAACAGGAUUAGAUACCCUGGUAGUCCACGCCGUAAACGAUGAGUGCUAAGUGUUAGGGGGUUUCCGCCCCUUAGUGCUGCAGCUAACGCAUUAAGCACUCCGCCUGGGGAGUACGACCGCAAGGUUGAAACUCAAAGGAAUUGACGGGGACCCGCACAAGCGGUGGAGCAUGUGGUUUAAUUCGAAGCAACGCGAAGAACCUUACCAAAUCUUGACAUCCUUUGACAACUCUAGAGAUAGAGCCUUCCCCUUCGGGGGACAAAGUGACAGGUGGUGCAUGGUUGUCGUCAGCUCGUGUCGUGAGAUGUUGGGUUAAGUCCCGCAACGAGCGCAACCCUUGAGCUUAGUUGCCAUCAUUAAGUUGGGCACUCUAAGUUGACUGCCGGUGACAAACCGGAGGAAGGUGGGGAUGACGUCAAAUCAUCAUGCCCCUUAUGAUUUGGGCUACACACGUGCUACAAUGGACAAUACAAAGGGCAGCGAAACCGCGAGGUCAAGCAAAUCCCAUAAAGUUGUUCUCAGUUCGGAUUGUAGUCUGCAACUCGACUACAUGAAGCUGGAAUCGCUAGUAAUCGUAGAUCAGCAUGCUACGGUGAAUACGUUCCCGGGUCUUGUACACACCGCCCGUCACACCACGAGAGUUUGUAACACCCGAAGCCGGUGGAGUAACCUUUUAGGAGCUAGCCGUCGAAGGUGGGACAAAUGAUUGGGGUGAAGUCGUAACAAGGUAGCCGUAUCGGAAGGUGCGGCUGGAUCACCU
rnacentral:rRNA from 1 species